AAUGAACGUUGGCGGCGUGGAUUAGGCAUGCAAGUCGAGCGCUCAUCAGCAAUGGUGGGAGCGGCGAACGGCGUAGUAAUGCAUCGGAACGUACCCUCUGGUCGGGGAUAGCUACGGGAAACUGUAGGUAAUACCCGAUGAACUCUGCGGAGCAAAGGUGAGAUUCCGCCGGAGGAGCGGCUGAUGUGAUAUUAGCUAGUUGGUGGGGUAAAGGCCUACCAAGGCGAUGAUGUCUAGGGGGUGUGAGAGCAUGGCCCCCACGACCGGAACUGAGAUACUGUCCGGACACCUACGGGUGGCUGCAGUCGAGAAUCUUCCGCAAUGGACGAAAGUCUGACGGAGCGACGCCGCGUGCGGGAUGAAGGCCCUUGGGUUGUAAACCGCUGUCAGAGGGGAUGAAAUCGUCGGAGGUACUCCUCCGAUGUUGACAGAGCCUCAAAGGAAGCACGGGCUAAGUACGUGCCAGCAGCCGCGGUAAGAC
rnacentral:rRNA from 1 species